GGAGCAGUAGUUUAGUUCGGCCGAUGAUCGUGGACUGUCACUCCAUGGACCCGGGUUCAAAUCCCGGCUGCUUCGCCA
rnacentral:tRNA from 1 species